rnacentral:misc_RNA from 1 species
UGGGAGAAAUUUGCAGCUUCAGUUCAGGUCUAAAUUGUCACUGCCUCUCUUUACAGGAGGGAAAGUAGAAGGAGAACAGGGUUCUACCAUCCAUGUUGUCUUAAUUAAUGGAAAUACAGGCCAUGUUGUAACAGUCGGCCCAGAGUCCUCUGUUAAACUAGAUGUUGUUGUGCUUGGAGGAGAUUUUAAUAAUGAGGACGAUGAUGGAUGGACUGAAGAAGAAUUUGAGUCUCA